GGCAGCGCUGCGUCCUUCUUUAACCGUCUUUGUUCGGAAGGCUGCCACAGAAAGACAGACUCACCGGCCGUGUUCCUGUGUCUCGGCUUAGGAAUAAAUUUGGUUACUGACACAC